UACGUAGGCAGCGAGCGUUGUUCGGAGUUACUGGGCGUAAAGAGUGCGUAGGCGGUUUUCUAAGUUUGGUGUGAAAUCUCCCGGCUUAACUGGGAGGGUGCGCCGAAGACUGGAAGGCUUGAGUAUGGGAGAGGUAAGCGGAAUUCCUGGUGUAGCGGUGAAAUGCGUAGAUAUCAGGAGGAACACCUGCGCUGUAGACGGCUUACUGGACCAUAACUGACGCUGAGGCACGAAAGCGUGGGUAGCAAACAGG
rnacentral:rRNA from 1 species